UACGGGGGGAGCUAGCGUUGUUCGGAUUUACUGGGCGUAAAGGGCGCGUAGGCGGUCAGCACAAGUCAGUUGUGAAAUCUCCGGGCUUAACUCGGAAAGGUCAACUGAUACUGUGCGACUAGAGUGCGGAAGGGGCAACUGGAAUUCUUGGUGUAGCGGUGAAAUGCGUAGAUAUCAAGAGGAACACCUGCGGCGAAGGCGGGUUGCUGGGCCGACACUGACGCUGAGGAGCGAAAGCGUGGGGAGCGAACAGG
rnacentral:rRNA from 1 species